rnacentral:tRNA from 1 species
AGUCUUAUAUUCAAAAUAAUGAUUUUAAAUUGCAAAUUUAAAGGUGGAUAAACCCUAAGGCUU